GACGAACGCUGGCGGCGUGCUUAACACAUGCAAGUCGAACGGAAAGGCCCUGCUUUUGUGGGGUGCUCGAGUGGCGAACGGGUGAGUAACACGUGAGUAACCUGCCCUUGACUUUGGGAUAACUUCAGGAAACUGGGGCUAAUACCGGAUAGGAGCUCCUGCUGCAUGGUGGGGGUUGGAAAGUUUCGGCGGUUGGGGAUGGACUCGCGGCUUAUCAGCUUGUUGGUGGGGUAGUGGCUUACCAAGGCUUUGACGGGUAGCCGGCCUGAGAGGGUGACCGGCCACAUUGGGACUGAGAUACGGCCCAGACUCCUACGGGAGGCAGAAGUGGGGAAUAUUGCACAAUGGGCGGAAGCCUGAUGCAGCAACGCCGCGUGCGGGAUGACGGCCUUCGGGUUGUAAACCGCUUUCGCCUGUGACGAAGCAUGAGUGACGGUAAUGGGUAAAGAAGCACCGGCUAACUACGUG
rnacentral:rRNA from 1 species